UAGUAUUCAAUUGUCAGAGGUGAAAUUCUUGGAUUUAUUGAAGACUAACUUCUGCGAAAGCAUUUGCCAAGGAUGUUUUCAUUAAUCAAGAACGAAAGUUAGGGGAUCGAAGACGAUCAGAUACCGUCGUAGUCUUAACCAUAAACUAUGCCGACUAGGGAUCGGACGAUGUUAAUUUUUUAAUGACUCG
rnacentral:rRNA from 2 species